rnacentral:rRNA from 1 species
AUGGAGGGGAACCGGAAUUUUUGGUGUAGCAGUGAAAUGCGUAGAUAUCAAGAAGAAGACUCGUGGCGAAGGCGGGUUCCUGGACAUUUACUGACGCUGAGGUACGAAGGCCAGGGUAGCGAAAGGGAUUAGAUACCCCUGUAGUCCUGGCAGUAAACGGUGCACGUUUGGUGUGCGGAGAUUCGACCCUCUGCGUGCCGGAGUUAACACGUUAAACGUGCCGCCUGGGGAGUACGGUCGCAAGAUUAAAACUC